rnacentral:rRNA from 1 species
AGUGAACGCUGGCGGUAGGCCUAACACAUGCAAGUCGAACGGCAGCACAGUAAGAGCUUGCUCUUACGGGUGGCGAGUGGCGGACGGGUGAGGAGUACAUCGGAAUCUACUUUUUCGUGGGGGAUAACGUAGGGAAACUUACGCUAAUACCGCAUACGACCUACGGAUGAAAGCAGGGGAUCUUCGGACCUUGCGCGAUUGAAUGAGCCGAUGUCGGAUUAGCUAGUUGGCGGGGUAAAGGCCCACCAAGGCGACGAUCCGUAGCUGGUCUGAGAGGAUGAUCAGCCACACUGGAACUGAGACACGGUCCAGACUCCUACGGGAGGCAGCAGUGGGGAAUAUUGGACAAUGGGCGCAAGCCUGAUCCAGCCAUACCGCGUGGGUGAAGAAGGCCUUCGGGUUGUAAAGCCCUUUUGUUGGGAAAGAAAAGCAGCAGGUUAAUACCCCGCUGUUCUGACGGUACCCAAAGAAUAAGCACCGGCUAACUUCGUG